rnacentral:rRNA from 1 species
AAAACUUUCAACAACGAAUCUCUUGGUUCUGGCAUCAAUAAAGAACGAAGCAAAAUGCGAUAAGUAAUGUGAAUUGCAGAAUUCAGUGAAUCAUCGAAUCUUUGAACGCACAUUGCGCCCCUUGGUAUUCCGGGGGGCAUGCCUGUUCGAGCGUCAUUG